rnacentral:rRNA from 1 species
UACGUAGGGUGCGAGCGUUAAUCGGAAUGACUGGGCGUAAAGGGUACGCAGGUGGUUUAUUAAGCUUGAUGUGAAAGCCCCGGGCUUAACCUGGGAACUGCAUUGAGAACUGAUAGACUAGAGUGUAGCAGAGGGGGGUGGAAUUUCGCGUGUAGCAGUGGAAUGCGUAGAUAUGCGAAGGAACACCGAUGGCGAAGGCAGCCCCCUGGGUUAACACUGACACUCAUGCACGAAAGCGUGGGGAGCAAACAGG